CUUUUUCUAGUUUGACUACCAGCUUCAUGUGAGAUGGGGAAUAUUUCUUGAGAGUUCUUUGUAUGGGAAAAAAAAUACCACUUCUGUCUUUCAAUUUCUCAAGGAAGCAAGAAGAAAGAAAGACAGGGGAGAAGGAAAGGAGCAAAGGAGGAAAGAAGGAAGAUAAAAGUCAGGUAAAGGCAUAUGGAGAAUUUGAAUCUAAAGCUCAAGUCUUUUUGAGAUCAAGCAUUGACAUAAAAUGGUGAGGACUAUGAUAAAUAUCUUAAGAAAAUCCUUGCCCCCAAUUUUUAAGGGACUGGAAUUUGGCCACUUCUGCAUUCUAUACAAAGACUCUUCAUUUCUGAAGUGUUGUCAUCAUAUCAAAAUGAACUUAAGUAAAUUUAGCUGUGAAAAGCAUACUUACACUUUUUCCACACGUGAUGUGAAACAAAGACUUCUACAAUUUCUUCCACAUGAUUGCAAGUUGAGGUUUGCAUACACUUGUGCUCAAGAUAAACAAGAUACUCUUCACCAGGAAUUUAAAAUAACUUAAGAAAGAUGUGAAUUGUUUUCAGAAAUUUUUAACGAUGACUUUGAUCUGAGAGGAUAGCUGCAAAAAGUUAGUGCUCAGAAAUAAAUAUGAGAAAGAGUUGACCACAAGACCAAACUUGUAGAUCAUGAAUAAUGUCUCAGAGUAGAUCUUAUUAUUUAUAAAAGAGUGUAACAGAGAUAUUGCUAUAAUAGGUUUGUAACAGUUGUGUCUCAGCACCAUAGUAGAGAUUUUGCGCAAAACGAAGAUUCAUAAUCAGUCUUUUUGGCAGACUCAGUUACAUAGCAUUAGGGUAAAUUGCCAGGGAAGAUAAAAGCAUAAAUGAACAACACAGAAGGUAAAAUUAUCUAUUCAUUUAUUUUAAAAAAUGUUAAAUUUUACUUUUUGUGUAAUUAUUUUGGUAUUUUGUGGGGGGGGGGCACCUGACAGUUUCCAGGACUUACUUCUGGCUCUGUACCCAGUGUGUGGGGGAAUCAUAUGAGAUAUUGGGGAUCAAACCUGGGUCAGCUGCAUGCAAGGCAAAAUGCCUUACCUCCUAUAUUGUCUCUCCAGCCCUGAAUAUUUUAAUGAGAUAGUGAAAAGUAAAUGCUUAAAAAAUACUUGAAAAAAUACACAGAAACAGUAUACACUUUUUUUUUAGCCCGUGCACAAGGGCUGAAUUUUUAGCUCAAGAAUUGAAUUUCAAGGAGAGAUGAUAAGAAAAUUUACCUUCUUUGAGCUUAAUGGGGGAAAGAAUAGAUUCACAUUUUUGCAUCAACAUAGACUUGUCAAUGUGAUUUAAAAAUAAAAUAACAACCCAGCACUGUUAGGAGUUGCUGGCAUGGUUGAGAAAUAGCUUUCUGAAUUGUCAUAGGAUUGAAACCAACAUUGUGUCAGUGAAUAACUCUACCCACAAGCAGCCUUGAUGAACCGAGCAAAAUCAAGGCCAGAUUGCAGUCCCUUGAAGCAUUGAUGAUAAGCACACUAUGGUUAAAGGACACAAAUUACCCUUGGAAUCAUAAUGCAGGUACACUGAAUGUAAGAAUAAUGUGAUUCAAACUAAUUUAGUACUGUGCCAAGCAGGAAGAGAUAGUCCUUUGGGCAUGCAAGAAGAACAUUUAGACAAAGCAAAACAAGAAGGGGAAUUUGUGGUUAGCAAGAAGCUGUUGCUCAUUUAUAUUUUAUUGAAGAUUUAAAAUGUUGGGCAAAAGAGAGUGCGGCUACGGCAAGCAGAGAAGGAAAUUUGGAAUGCACAUGGCUUAUAACUAUAAGAGUAAAACUUGAAAUGAUAAGCAUCAGGAAAAUUGUAAAUGUUUUUUGUUUUCUAAAUUAUCUAUUUUGGAAACUUAGAUUAAAAAUAUCAACAGAC